GACGAACGCUGGCGGCGUGCUUAACACAUGCAAGUCGAACGGAAAGGCCCUGCUUUUGUGGGGUGCUCGAGUGGCGAACGGGUGAGUAACAAGGGAGUAACCUGCCCUUGACUUGGGGAUAACUUCAGGAAACUGGGGCUAAUACCGGAUAGGAGCUCCUGCUGCAUGGGGGGGGUUGGAAAGUUUCGGCGGUUGGGGAUGGACUCGCGGCUUAUCAGCUGGUUGGUGGGGUAGUGGCUUACCAAGGCUUUGACGGGUAGCCGGCCUGAGAGGGUGACCGGCCACCUUGGGACUGAGAUACGGACCAGACUCCUACGGGAGGCAGCAGUGGGGAAUAUUGCACAAUGGGCGGAAGCCUGAUGCAGCAACGCCGCGUGCGGGAUGACGGCCUUCGGGUUGUAAACCGCUUUCGCCUGUGACGAAGCGUGAGUGACGGUAAUGGGUAAAGAAGCACCGGCUAACUACGUG
rnacentral:rRNA from 1 species